UACGUAGGGUGCGAGCGUUGUCCGGAAUUAUUGGGCGUAAAGGGCGCGUAGGCGGCGUGUUAAGUCAGCUGUGAAAUCUCCAAGCUUAACUUGGAACGGUCAGCUGAUACUGAUGUGCUAGAGUGCAGAAGGGGCAAUCGGAAUUCUUGGUGUAGCGGUGAAAUGCGUAGAUAUCAAGAGGAACACCUGAGGUGAAGACGGGUUGCUGGGCUGACACUGACGCUGAGGCGCGAAAGCUAGGGUAGCAAACGGG
rnacentral:rRNA from 1 species